rnacentral:misc_RNA from 1 species
GAUUUACAAUUUUAGAUGAGAAGACCCCAUUCUUCAUGCUAACAGUAUUUUGCUGAGAUGUUUCUGGGGUCUUCUCAUCUAAAAUUGUAAAUCACAAAGACUCCGGAGUCGUAGAGGGUCUUAUUCUCGAGGGCAUUUGCAUUUGUUCCCCUCCAAAUCUAUAAGUGAAGCCAUUCUUGGGUGUGAUAGACAUUUUGUUCAUUGCAUAGUCAAAUUCAUCAAGAUCAAGAUGUUGCUCAUCUAAACUCCCUGCCCCCUCUUCUUCCAUAAAACUCUCCCCAUUAACUACAACAAAAUCUUCUGUAAUAUCUUCAUCGCUGCUAUCUUCCUCAUCACUACCAUAAGUAGUUCUGACAUGCUUCCAGUACACAAAAUUUGGGCGGAUAUAACCUCUGUCACAUUUUUUCAGCAAACAUGGGUCAAAUGGGAAGAACAUGUCCAGUCUCUCCAGUCCACCAAAGUCCCUAGAGAAAUCCGAUUCCAACAAAUCUUCAAAAAUGAAUGUUUCAGAUGUGGUGAGCAAAUAAGCAGCUUUUGCCUGUUUGAGAAACUCUUCUACUAUGGAUGGCAGGCAUACCUUAAGAGGAUCCAAUUUAUGUUUCAAGACUGGCCCUAGAGGCAUGACCAGAAGCUGAGAUUUGAGCCUAGGAACAUCCAUAAGAGACCUCAUUCGAAAGCAGAGAACAUACAUUAUGGCCUGGCAUCCAGAAUAGAAAACUCGAUGUGCUUUCGGGUUCAUUUCACCAUUCUGGGUUUCACAAUAUUCCAAACACCAGUCCACCAGCCUUUUCAAUGUGCUAGCAACAAAAGCAGCAGACAGAAACUUUGCACGAGCCAAAUAACUAGCAAGAUAAGC